UUGCCGUCUCAUAAGGUCAUUUGUGGUCACCAAUUCAUAAGACUGGGAGCUCCCAUUCCCAUUCCCUCUCUCCAUCUUCCGCUUUCCCAUAUCUUCUUCCCUCCAUUUCUUUCUUGAACCUUCCAGAACCUUCAUUCUUCUCUCUCUCUCUCUACUUUCUCUCUCCUCCAACUUGCCCAAGAAACUUCUCUCCAAUUUUUUCAAUUGUUUAUGCUUCUUCAAGGCCUAGAACUUUCCAAUUAUCUCCUUCCAUUUGAUAUUUAUGCAAGGGGGAAUUUGAUUUCUACGCGAUUGUUGCAGAGAUGAAUCCUCUGUUUCCAGUCAAGGAAGAGUUUCCGGGUUCCAGUUCGUCGGAUGUCGACGGAGAACGAUCGGCGAUUAUGGCUCCUCCGUUGCCGAUGGAGGGUCUUCACGACGCUGGUCCACCGCCGUUUUUGACUAAAACGUUUGAAAUCGUCGAUGAUUUUAAUACUGAGCGUGUAAUCUCUUGGAGCUUUGGUGGAACUAGUUUCAUCGUUUGGGAUCCUCAUUGUUUCUCCACUCAAUUGCUUCCGAGAUUUUUUAAGCAUAAUAACUUUUCCAGCUUCGUUCGUCAACUUAAUACUUACGGUUUUAGAAAGAUAGAUCCAGAUAGAUGGGAAUUUGCAAAUGAAGGGUUUAUCAGAGGCCAAAAGCACCUUCUUAAAAACAUAAAGAGAAGGAGAGCAACAGCAAAUCAUCAUCAUCAUCAUCAUCAUCAUCAUCAUCAUCAAUCACAAGGAGCUAGUGGAGCUUGUGUAGAAGUUGGUCAAUUUGGAGUAGAUGCAGAAAUGGAUCGUUUAAAACGUGACAAACAAGUGCUGAUGAUGGAGUUAGUGAUGCUAAGGCAAGAGCAACAGAACACAAGAGCUUAUCUUCAAGCAAUGGAGCAAAGGCUAAGAGGAACUGAAAUUAAGCAAAGACAAAUGAUGAAUUUCUUAGCAAGAGCAAUGAAAAACCCAUCAUUUAUUCAGCAGUUAAUCCAACAGAAGGAGAAGAGGAAAGAGCUUGAAGAAGCCAUAACUAAGAAAAGGAGAAGACCCAUUGAACAAGCUGGUCAACAUAGCAGUGGUGGUAGUGGGAGAUUCUUAGGUGAAGGCUCAAACACUAUAAAGAUUGAACCUCUAGAAAGUGAUGAAUAUGGAUUUGGAAUAACAGAGCUAGAAGCACUUGCUUUGGAGAUGCAAGGGCUUGGCAAGACAAGACAUGAAGAUGGGGAAGAGGAAGAAGAAGAAGAAGAAGAAGAAGAAGGAGAUAACUCACUUCCACCAGAAGAUGAAGAUAAAGUACUCGAUGAAGGGUUUUGGGAAGAAUUGUUCAGUGAAAGGUUGGAGGCAGCUAGAAAUGAAGAUGAAAAUGUGAAUGUUUUGGCUGAUAGGUUGGGCUAUUUGGGCUCAAGCCCACCAUAGAAACUCAAAAUGAGUUCAUGGGAAAGAGUCAGGAUGUGUCGAAAAAGCUAAAACUAGCUAAUCCAUUUGGGCCUUUUGGGGGGUUUUGAUCUACAACUAAACUAAACUAAACCAGAAACCCCAAUUAUAACCUUUCUUUUGGUUUACUAUUUGGCAGGACAAGAAGAUGAAAAAGAAAGAUCAGUGCUAUCAGCCAUCAGGGACACAAAACUUCCCUUUUUUGCUCUGUUUUGGCUUAAUGUUUCUUUCUAACCCAAAGUAAAAUGUUGAUGAUGAUUUCCCGCUUUCCCCUUGAGCAACCACUUCCUCAUAUUCUCUCUACUGUGGCUUCUGUUAGGUUUGCAGGAAAUAUCUAAUCUGGUUGGACUCAGUUCCGUGUUUAUCCUAUUAGUGAGGGCCUCAAGAUCACUCACUCCAAAGCUCUCUAUCAAAUUGGAAAAGAUCUGUUGCUGAAUCUUGAAGAAUCAAUCACAAGCAGUUUCGUGGUUAGCAUAACUCUCUCUUUUAUCCUUUACUCUUCAAAACACACACACACACAAAAUGGAAAAACGAGAAAACUUGAUGGAAACUAUGAACCAAUCAUUUAAGGUAUGUUUGGUGCAUGAUAAAAGUAGAGAGUUGAGUUGAGUUGAGUUGGUAAUUAUUAUUUAGAGAGUUAAAAUGUCUGUGUUUGUUUUGCAGAGUUUAGUUGAGUUGGUAAUUAUUGUCUGUGUUUAUAAUUGAGUUGAGUUGGGAGAUCUGAUACAGUUUUUUUUUAAAUGAGAUUAGUUCUAUUUUUUUUAUUUUUU